CUCUAGAGAUUUUCCGGUUGAUCCUGCCGGACCUGACUGCUAUCGGAUUGAUACUAAGCCAUGCGAGUCUUUGUAGUAAUACAAGGCAUACGGCUCAGUAACGCGUAGUCAACCUACCCUAUGGACAAGAAUAAUCUCGGGAAACUGAGCAUAAUUCUUGAUAGAUCAUAAUGCCUGGAAUGGUUUAUGGUUAAAAUGAUUCGUCGCCAUAGGAUGGGACUGCGGCCUAUCAGCUUGUUGGUGAGGUAAUGGCCCACCAAGGCGAUUACAGGUACGGGCUCUGAGAGGAGAAGCCCGGAGAUGGGUACUGAGACAAGGACCCAGGCCCUAUGGGGCGCAGCAGGCGAGAAAACUUUGCAAUGUGCGAAAGCACGACAAGGUUAGUCCGAGUGAUUUCUGCUAAAGAGAUCUUUUGCUAGUUAUAAAACCACUAGUGAAUAAGGGGUGGGCAAGUUCUGGUGUCAGCCGCCGCGGUAAAACCAGCACCUCAAGUGGUCAGGAUGAUUAUUGGGCCUAAAGCAUCCGUAGCCGGCUCUGUAAGUUUUCGGUUAAAUCUAUGCGCUCAACGUAUGGGCUGCCGAAAAUACUGUAGAGAUAGGGAGUGGGAGAGGUAGACGGUACUCGGUAGGAAGGGGUAAAAUCCUUUGAUCUAUCGAUGACCACCUGUGGCGAAGGCGGUCUACCAGAACACGUUCGACGGUGAGGGAUGAAAGCUGGGGGAGCAAACCGGAUUAGAUACCCGGGUAGUCCCAGCUGUAAACGAUGCAGACUCGAUGAUGCAUUGGCAUAUAGCCAGUGCAGUGUCGCAGGGAAGCCGUUAAGUCUGCCGCCUGGGAAGUACGUACGCAAGUAUGAAACUUAAAGGAAUUGGCGGGGGAGCACCACAAGGGGUGAAGCCUGCGGUUCAAUUGGAUUCAACGCCGGG
rnacentral:rRNA from 1 species